AUUGAACGCUGGCGGCAGGCCUAACACAUGCAAGUCGAACGGAUUGGCGGACGGGUGAGUAAUGUCUGGGAAACUGCCUGGUAGUGGGGGAUCACGUCCGGAAACGGGCGCUAAUACCGCAUCCUAUCAGAUGAGCCUAGGUCGGAUUAGCUAGUUGGUGGGGUAAAGGCCUACCCAGGCGACGAUCCGUAACUGGUCUGAGAGGAUGAUCAGGCACACUGGAACGGAGACACGGUCCAUACGCCUACGGGAGGAAGCAGUGGGGAAUAUUGGACAAUGGGAGAAAGCCUGAUCCAGCCAUGCCGCGUGUGUGAAGAAGGUCUGCGGAUUGUAAAGCACUUUAAGUUGGGAGGCGGUACCCGCAGAAGAAGCACCGGCUAACUCCGUGCCAGCAGCCGCGGUAAUUC
rnacentral:rRNA from 1 species